GUAGCCGAGAGGAGCGCGCUCCGGGGCAGGCCUCCGAGUACUUCCCGCAGAGGACCGGGCUUUAUACUGCUCCUUUUCCUCCCCUAGAUCCUGAGCAGCCAUAUAAGACAUUCAACCAGCCUGAGACCACCAUACACUGAUCACAGUCUCAAAUGAACCCAACAUUUCACCUGUGCCCGCCAGGCAGCAGACAUGCAGCUGAAGCUGUCUUGGAGCCUCUAGACCAGCCCAUCCACCUGCUGAAUACCAGUGAGUGACCUAUGUCAAAGCUACCAGAAGUGGAAUUGCCAGCUGAGUCUUGCCUAAAUUUCUGAGCCACACAAUCGUGAGAUACUAUAAAGUGAUUUAUUGGCAGAUACGUAAGCCACAUUAAGUAAUAUAAAAUGCAGUGAAUGCAUCAAACGACUCAGCAAGGACCCACUGACAGCCGGCGAGAGGCUGCCUCUUCGAAGAAGUCACUCUGAAUCAGAUACCUGUUUAUGCAUUUGUCGAACCAGGCUCUGAAUUUUUGUUUUAAAUGAAGACAUUAGUUCAAAACAAAAACGUCUCCAGCCAAACCCAUAACAUAUUGGGUGGCAGGAAGAGGGUGUACAGCCAACUUUAAAAUCUAAUCAAACGCUCAGGAUUUUGAGUGUGAACAUGCUUUGCUUCCCGUUUGGGGGGAAACACAACUUCUCGGGAGGAGAGAAGGGGCCCCCAGCAUAUUGUGUUUGAUUCUCCACAAGACAGUAGAGUAGCAUUUUGAUGAGGGAGAUGCAGACUGACCAAUAACGUCUUUUGGGAAAUUCUUACUGCCUUGAUACAGAGAAAGGAAGUACCAAUGAGGAAAUGAGUAUUGCACAGUGCUAUGUGCUAUAACCACUUGAAACAGAACUGGGAGAAUUUGUGUAAGACCUAUACCCCCAUCCUUGAUGCCAUCAAAGGCAAGGUCCCAAUGUGUCAAAGCAGAAAGAGAAUGAGUCUGGCAGUCAAGAGACCCAGUUCCUAGCUGGGGCAGCUGUGUCACCUUGGGCAACUGCCACCCUCUCCCUCGAGGUCAUGACGGGAUGCCUGGCAUCCCUUCCUGCACAAAAAUCCCUUGAUUCCUUAAACAAUGAUGUCCAAAUGAUUGAUGUAAGAGAAAUGAGAUCACAGGAUACUGGGGACACCUGAACCAGCCGUGAAUUACUUGAGAAGAUUCAGGCCCUGGCAUUAAGCCAAGCAGAAAAAUGAUGGACAUGUGGUUUCAUGGGGAACUUCUAAUUCACCUUCUUGUGACUGUUAUAUUUUACUGUUAACCAUUCCCUUUUAAAGAAAGCCUCGUGGGACUCAGAUGAAGGUACACUCCCUCCAAAAAAUGUUCUGGGUAAAUUCCACCCUACUAUGGUCUGUCCAGCCUCUGAAAAUUGACAGCCUUUUGUUUGCAUCACUUCAUACUGUCCAUGUGAACAAUUAAACAGUGUGGUUAAGGGCUCAGUUUCCAGAGUCAGAUGGCCCAAGUUUAAGUCCUGAUUCUGCCACUAUUAGCUGUGUGACCUUGGGCAAGACUCUUAACCUCCCUGAGGUUUUUCUAUUCUGUAAAAUUGGGAUGACAACAAUACUUUUGUUGACUGGAUGAUUGUGAUGAUGAUAUGAGAUCCAAUUUGUAAAGCAUUAACACAAAUGUGUCACAGAGUAAAAUUCUCAAUCUAU
ensembl:lncRNA